GAUGCAGUGAAAACGUAAAUUACAGAUGUAGCUAAGAGACAUCUAAAUAAAAUAUCAAUAGAUAAAAACAGAAAAAAAUCAGCACAUGUACAAUACUGAUAUAGUAUAAAGGCGGCUCAAUCACUUAAAAUGGAGUCUCUUUUGUCUUGGGGGUAGGAUAAAACAAGAACAGUAUAACAGUACACAUAACAUAUUUCUCCUUGAAAAACACUUUUGAUAAAGCCUGUUCAAGGAGAAACAUGUUAAGUGUACUGUUACACUGUUCUAUAUAACUAUUUUACCUAUUAUCUUUGAUUUUAUUGUUGUUUUUUUUUUAAAUAAAAGUACAUUUUAUCAGACCUGAUUUUCUGCUGUUGUAUCCUUAGCUACAUAUUCUUGGUGGGGAUAAAGUCUCCUAAGUCAGCUGGACUGAGCAAACCUAAUUUUGCUUUGAAACACGUGAGUAGGUUUUUAUUACUUUUAAUGUGCUUUACACUCUAAUUUUAUGGUACACACAAUUGUGUUUUUUAUUUCUCUUUUAUAUAUUCAUGGAGGAAACACAUUACUUCUGGAGCCAAUACUUAGGCUCCAUUAUAAGUGAGUGUACACCUGUCUACAUACCUACCCCUGCUUAUUAGCUCAACAUACUACACUAUAUAUUUUUAUUUCAUGUUUUAUAUUUUUAUGGGGAUACCCAUCACUAUAAGGACAAUUUCAAGAAUCCGCACCACAAUAUAUCCAUAGGCAGGGAUCAUUCCACCCAGG